UUGAAUGUGAUGCAUCGGCACAGUGGCUGUGGGAGAAGGAAGCAGCAGCAGCAGCACUCUUCCCUCCCUCUUUCUCUCGGUCUUUCUCCCUCUCGGCUCGCUCCCUCCUUCUCGUCACAGAGAGCAAAUCUGCAGGCGUGCAGCACGGCCCCGGCUUUUAAUGGCAUUCCAGUUUGCAAAAAAAGGGCAUCAAAAUGUAGCGUCAGAGGAUAACAGAGGUGCAUAUAGGCGGCUGCUGCACCGGCUACAUGCACGCUGACGAGAAACUACUAGAACUCUACGGAGAGAAAAGUGGAACUUUUAACUUUUGCCGGUGAAAACACGCUGCUCUUGAUAUCUACAACCGCACAGGAAAGCUCGCGACUGGAAAUGGGGCAUGAAGCCACGGGCGGGACGGCGGGGGAGGAGGGCGUGCAGCCGGGGGUGGGUGGGCGCGUUGACUGGAGGAGCGCCAGCCCGUCUCAACCAGCAUGCAACAGGCAUGGACAGUAAUGCCUGUGUGAUUGGGCUGCACCGGGUGAUGAUUUUAAUAAACACACACACGCCGAUGGGGGCCACGGGUCAACGGUGUUUGGAUUCAUCAGCCGCACACAGGUAGAAGAAUACUGAUGUGUUGCCUCCCUGCGGCCGCCCGGGUCUCAUCUGCCUCCAGUCAGACACACAACGACAACAACACGCGCAGCAUGACGAGCUGGGAGGUAAUGAAGGGAAAUGGCAGCAGCAUUGCAUGGGAUGAGCUGGGUCCCAGAAGGAGAGGCGGAUCUUACAACGGGGGGGACUCCCAAACCUAAUAUCCCCAACACCGAGCCUCCUGGUGUAAAGGCCCAGCCUAAUGGGGUGGACACUGGUGUCAACUUCAUUACUUUACAUCUCCCGCCAAGAUGAAAAGUCUCUUGCCGCUCGCACUUUGACCACGCUUCGUUAGUGUCUCCAGCCCCCUUUGCCUUUCCCUAACCUCAAAAGUCCCAUCUCAUCUGAUGCAAAAUGCAGAGAGGAGCAGAAACCAAGGCAGUGAGAGAAGAGCCACGGCACAGGCAAGCUGGACACAACCGUGAAUGAGGAGAAUCCCACCACAAGUAGACCAAGGAAGGACGGAUAAACGGAAACAGUGCAGGGGCUUUUAGUACGGCUGGGAGUGGAACGAAUGGGGGAAUGGGAUUAAGCCAAUUUAGCAAGGUGGAGCGAGGGCAGACGGGGGGAGAAGAGAUGCACAAAGGUAAAAACAAAAUGAAACUGAUGGUGAACCCUGAGGGUAAGGAGAUUUCAGAGCGAUACAGGGAGAUGAGAUGAGGAGGAGACAACGGUGCAGGAAGUGAGGAAUAAGAGGCUAUAGGAGAGGAGCAAAAUGGAUAAUCAAGGUGGAUGAACGCACUGAGUAACUGAAGGAAGGAAAAUGUCUGCAAAUAUAAAUUUGAAGGAAAGCAGCAAGAGGGAGAAUUGGGAAAAACUCACUGUGAAAGUAUUGGCGUAUACAGGACAACUGCUCCUUUUUCUGUUCAUCCUGCUACGUUCCAGCUAGAUGUCCUAGUGUGUGUCUUUCGCAAUGUUGUGAUGGCAUCCAGCAGCCUGGCAUGCCUUUUAAAUUCUGCUGAGUAAAUAAUGCAUCCAGCACAGUCCAUAAUUUAUGUAAGUGGACAUGCAAUCAGUUCAGAUUAACGUGCACGAAGGCCAAACACGCACGAGCGUGUGCGAGGGGGAAAAAAAAAUGGGAUCACUAAAACAUGACAGGUCACUGACUUUCUCUCUCGACUGUAGCUCUUUCCCGCUUUGCGCCUCUUGGCUCAUGAUUUAAGCUCAAGAAAUAUAUAUGUGUGUGUGUGUAUAUAUAUAUAUAUUAAAAAGAACUGCCCAUGUGCAUGUCUUACAAAAUAAACCCCCUUUUUAAUUUCUGUCUUAAGGUAAAUGUUGGAUUUAUUGCAUCAUGCAGUACAUACUUUCCAUCUACAAGUCAGAAAUAACUCAGCUGCCUCCCAGGUUCAUUGUAUGUAAUAAUCUGACAAUCUUUACCCCCCUGUGGGAUAAAAACUGAAUGAUUUACUCAGAAGAAACGUGAUACAUGCAAACAUUUAAGAAAACACCUGACCAUCUGUAAAUACACCAGAUUAUUCAACAUCAAAUCAUCCUCAUUUUUAUUUAUUUAUUUAUUUUAUUGGUUGCAGACUGAAUCUGUGCAUGUCAGCACUAUUGUAUUCUGUUAACACGAGGAACCUGCCGGUCCACCACUCAUUUGUUCUGGCACGAACAGUCAGGCUGUAAACACUGCAGGGGCCACUUUAAUAGAACAGACUGAAUCAGAGUCCAGUGGAAAGAGCUAAAUGCAAAUAGUAACAAGUCCAAUGAAAGCAAGCAUGAUGUUACUUUUUUCUUAACCUGCAUUAUUUUAACUGUUCUGUUUAUUAGCUUUGUCGCUGCUUUAUUGUUUGGGCUUUCCUGAACCUAAAUCCAAGCUUAUUCUAUUACCUCCAGUAGAAAUGGAGAGAACCUGAGGGAGAUACUGAAACGGCUGAAAUGCAAAGAAGAAUGUGCAAAAUAAAGAAUGAGGAAAAGGACCGAUUCUGAACACUAAGUAUACACUGUCCUAUUAGCCUCAGUGUGUAUAUUGAACCGUCUUCGCCUUUGGUUUCUGUUUCUCUCUGUUUGUUUCUGUUCAUUCACAUGUUUUCUUGUUCCAAAUAUACCUGCCCAUGUACCCUUGUGUUUUGGUUCAACUCUCCGUGCUUGUUUUCGGAGCUUUCUGAGUUGAAUUUUUGGUUGCAUCAACCUGUCACACUGCACUCAGUUUAUAAACAUCGGGAACACAAGCAUUUUCUUUUGAAGGGAAUGAAUAUAUCAAGCCUCAAAUAAUUCACAUAUAUCAAAAUUAGUAUCACGGGAGGUAAAAACAAGGAUGGGAAUGUUUUAACAAUUAAGGAAACUACUGUAUGCCACUAUGUUGUACAGCUACGCUCAAAUAGCUCAAAUCUGGUCAACCUAAUUUACAUCAUGUACAUUUGUCUAGAAACAAAGGAAAGAUUUAAGAAUUAUCUUUUUAAUAUGCAGGGGAAAAAAAGGAUAUUUCAUCUUGGUUUGAAUUUAGUUUUUGCAGAAACAAAAGGUGUUAGCCUCUCUGCCUUCAUCUUAAGUAAAAUAAACAUUAUUUCAUCGUAUA